UUCGGGGACACGCGGGGAGCGGAGAGUGCAGAAUUUGUACUUUGAAGCCUUUUUCGCCUUAGAUUUUUAUGGCGCUAGGAGGCCUGACAGUGGAGUGCCUCUGCUGAGAUCGGAGCCUUUGCUAUUUUUUUCUUUGAUUUUUUUUUUUUUUUUUUUCUCCUCUCCAUCGCCUUCCUUUCCGCCCUCCCUCCUCUUGGUAGCACAUCGAGUCAGUGAAUCUGUUGCUGCGUGUGACAUCUCCUGCAAGCUCCCAGAGAGAAUUGAUGGAGCAUACAGCUAGGGAAUAGGAUACCAGAGAAGCACAGAGGAAGAAUCCAGGCAAUCACCAGGGUGGGAAGGUUCUGCGUCCACUGGAUAUGGGACAAGAUCGCUCGGCAACCCUUGUGGAUUCUCCUUCUUCUAGAGGCGAAUUAUAGUUAUGGAUUUAUUGUCCCGGUGCAGCACUUCCAGCAGCAGCAGCAGCAACAGCAGCAGCAGCAGCAACAGCAGCAGCUUUCUGACUCUCUUCGGUGACGGGUAUUCUUGGGUGGAUAAUACGGAUUACGUUGUUAUUGCUUAAGAAUACGCGUAGUCGAGGAGAGUACCGGCGGCGGGCAGGCAGGCAGGCAGCGCGACCGCCCCCAGCCCACCAGCUGGCUCCUCACCUCCUCUAGUUGCCAAGGUAGCACCUUUUCCAUCUUUUCCUACGCUUUGUAAUGUUUCAUUCUGUGUCUCUUGCGGAGGGGGGUGCCCGGUGUGUGUGUGUGCGUGGGAGCGAGCCCAGGGCUGGGGAGGGCCGCGGCAGGGCUGGCCGAGCUC